rnacentral:rRNA from 1 species
CCUACGGGAGGCAGCAGUGGGGAAUAUUGCACAAUGGGGGAAACCCUGAUGCAGCGACGCCGCGUGAGUGAAGAAGUAUUUCGGUGUGUAAAGCUCUAUCAUCAGGGGAGUAAAAAGACGUUACCUUACUAAGAAGCCCCGGCUAACUAAGUGCCAGCCGCCGCGGUAAUACGUAGGGGGCGAGCGUUAUCCGGAUUUACUGGGUGUAAAGGGAGCGUAGACGGCUGGUCAAGUCUGAAGUGAAAGCCCAGGGCUCAACCCUGGGACUGCUUUGGAAACUGUGGAUCUAGAGUGCUGGAGAGGUAAGUGGAAUUCGUAGUGUAGCGGUGAAAUGCGUAGAUAUUACGAGGAACACCAGUGGCGAAGGCGGCUUACUGGACAGUAACUGACGUUGAGGCUCGAAAGCGUGGGGAGCAAACAGGAUUAGAUACCCCUGUAGUC